rnacentral:rRNA from 1 species
UACGGGGGGAGAGCAGUGUUCGGUCGAUUUAUUGGGUUUAAAGGGUGCGUAGGCGGCCCGUUAAGUCAGUGGUGAAAGCCUCCAGCUCAACUGGAGAACUGCCAUUGAUACUGGCGGGCUUGAGUACAGACGAGGUAGGCGGAAUUGAUUGUGUAGCGGUGAAAUGCAUAGAUACAAUCAAGAACACCGAUUGCGUAGGCAGCUUACUAGGCUGUAACUGACGCUGAGGCACGAAAGCGUGGGGAGCGAACAGG